rnacentral:rRNA from 1 species
GUGAGGAAUAUUGGUCAAUGGGCGAGAGCCUGAACCAGCCAAGUCGCGUGAAGGAAGAAGGAUCUAUGGUUCGUAAACUUCUUUUGCAGGGGAAUAAAGUGCGGGACGUGUCCUGUUUUGUAUGUACCCUGAGAAUAAGGAUCGGCUAACUCCGUGCCAGCAGCCGCGGUAAUACGGAGGAUCCGAGCGUUAUCCGGAUUUAUUGGGUUUAAAGGGUGCGUAGGUGGUUUGAUAAGUCAGCGGUGAAAGUUUGCAGCUUAACUGUAAAAAUGCCGUUGAAACUGUCGGACUUGAGUGUAGAUGAGGUAGGCGGAAUGCGUGGUGUAGCGGUGAAAUGCAUAGAUAUCACGCAGAACUCCGAUUGCGAAGGCAGCUUACUAAGCUACAACUGACACUGAAGCACGAAAGCGUGGGGAUCAAACAGGAUUAGAUACCCGUGUAGUCC